rnacentral:misc_RNA from 1 species
AGUCGUAACAAGGUCUCCGUUGGUGAACCAGCGGAGGGAUCAUUACCGAGUCUAACAACUCAUCAACCCUGUGAACAUACCUAAACGUUGCUUCGGCGGGAACAGACGGCCCCGUAACACGGGCCGCCCCCGCCAGAGGACCCCCUAACUCUGUUUCUAUAAAUGUUUUUUCUGAGUAAACAAGCAAAUAAAUUAAAACUUUCAACAACGGAUCUCUUGGCUCUGGCAUCGAUGAAGAACGCAGCGAAAUGCGAUAAGUAAUGUGAAUUGCAGAAUUCAGUGAAUCAUCGAAUCUUUGAACGCACAUUGCGCCCGCCAGUAUUCUGGCGGGCAUGCCUGUUCGAGCGUCAUUACAACCCUCAGGCCCCCGGGCCUGGCGUUGGGGAUCGGCGGAGCCCCCCGUGGGCACACGCCGUCCCCCAAAUACAGUGGCGGUCCCGCCGCAGCUUCCAUUGCGUAGUAGCUAACACCUCGCAACUGGAGAGCGGCGCGGCCACGCCGUAAAACACCCAACUUCUGAAUGUUGACCUCGAAUCAGGUAGGAAUACCCGCUGAACUUAAGCAUAUCAAUAAGCGGAGGA